GUCCAUUCUUAAGAAGUACCGGUAAUGUGUCAGGGCUGUAUGAGACGGAGAUCACCCCUGCUGGUUGGGCCUUCUCCAUAUGGGGAUUCCUCUACACCUGGCUCCUCCUCAUGAACAUAUAUAUUGUCACCUGGUUCUGUAGACGGACCUCAACUGGAUGGAUGUAUUGCAGUCCUGCUAUUCUUCCUUAUGGGUUUUUUAUCUCCUGGGUGGUGAACAUGAUUCUGAACUGCGCCUGGCUCCUCCUGUGGGACAGAGAGUUAAUGAUCCCAGCGCUUGUAGUGUUGGCUCUGAUUGCGUUUACCAACUACUUCAUCAUCUACUUCUCCUGUGUUGGCCUGCAAGCGCAUGGAGCCAGGCUCAAACAGAACCACCCCGCUGACCUCUGCUGCAUCCGUGUUCUGGUGUGUGCAUACAGCAGCCUACUUCCUGCUAAAUCCAGCGAGUGUACAAUCGAAUCUUGUAGUGGAGAUGACGGAUAGCUGCUGUUUGAAUUGCUUCAAGUCCUGCCAAACAAAAUGUUUGACAAGCUUUGUUUUUGGCUUUGGGGUGCUGCGCUGUGUACAAACGGCUGAUACAAUGGCUGCGGUAGCCAGGCAACAUCAGCUGCUGUGUGAACUGAUGGUAUGUAUGUGUGUUUGUGUGUUUCAGGUUCAGAAUGGUAUUGCUGCCUAUGCCACAUGGACUACAAUAGCCACGCUCCUCAACUUGGCCGUGGUGCUUGGUCUUGGAUCAGUGUCGCCAACAAAUGCUGGCACUGUUUCUCUGUGCCUUCUCCUGCUAGAAGUGAUUGUGUGGUUUGCUGUGGAGAACUUUGUGGUGGAGAAGCAUGUCCGCUACAUUCUGAGUGUUUACCCCGUCGUCAUCUACGCUCUGAUUGGAAGCUUGAGCAGACACUACGACCCUGCAGCUCCAGGCAGGAACGCAGUCUUUACAGCUGUUCUCCUGUCUCUGGCCUGUAUCUUGUUCAUUGCGCGUGUGGUGCUGGUGAUUUGGAGACACCGUACUCAGCCUCUGUUCCAGGACGGGGUAGCUGAGGGGCUGAUGAGACCUGUCAGCACUACAGACAAGUAGCAGCACAGGGUAUACUGUACAUUACUCUAAACAUGAAGCACCACUCCACUUGCCAAAGUAUUUACUGCGGAAUGUGUUCAAAAUAUACAUGUUUUUUUUUUGACUGGUCAAAUCAUACAGUAUAUCAGUGCCCACCCACACACUCAUACACUAACACCACCAAACAGCUCCAACAGUUAAACAACACCUAAAGAAAACCUCACGUCUCCAUGUAUUACUCCACCACAUACAGGUAACCUAGCAACGAUGCAGCGCUUACAAGCCAAACAGCACAGCUACAAACAGAGCAGCAAUGGAAUUAUUUUAUCUUGUGGAGUGUUUAAAGCCUAACAGCUCGUCUUUUCUCAUCCUUUUUAACUCAAUCUAUCUAAUCUAUCAAUAAACAGUUAUAAUGGAACUGUGCUAUAAUCGCA
rnacentral:lncRNA from 1 species